CAGGACGAUGGCUUAGGGAUUUUUUACUUACUGGUUCGGGACCAGGGGGUCGGAGGUUCAAAUCCUCUCGCCCCGACCA
rnacentral:tRNA from 1 species